rnacentral:rRNA from 1 species
GACGAACGCUGGCGGCGUGCUUAACACAUGCAAGUCGAACGGAAAGGCCCUGCUUGCAGGGUACUCGAGUGGCGAACGGGUGAGUAACACGUGGGUGAUCUGCACUGCACUUCGGGAUAAGCCUGGGAAACUGGGUCUACUACCGGAUAGGAGCCAUUUUUAGUGUGAUGGUUGGAAAGUUUUUUCGGUGUAGGAUGAGCUCGCGGCCUAUCAGCUUGUUGGUGGGGUAAUGGCCUACCAAGGCGGCGACGGGUAGCCGGCCUGAGAGGGUGGCCGGCCACAGUGGGACUGAGAUUCGGCCCAGACUCCGACGGGAGGCAGCAGUGGGGAAUGUUGCACAAUGGGCGCGAGCCUGAUGCAGCGACGCCGCGGGGGGGAUGACGGCCUUCGGGUUGUAAACGCCUUUCGCUAGGGACGAAGCAUUUUGUGACGGUACCUAGAGAAGAAGCACCGGCUAACUACGUG